UGCCAGCCGCCGCGGUAAUACGGAGGGAGCGAACGUUGUUCGGAUUUACUGGGUGUAAAGGGUGCGUAGGCGGCACUGUGUGUCAGGGGUGAAAUCUGGCGGCUCAACCGUCAAAUUGCCCUUGAAACUGCAGAGCUUGAGUCCGUGAGAGGAAGGCGGAAUUCCUGGUGUAACGGUGAAAUGUGCAGAUAUCAGGAAGAACACCCAUGGCGAAGGCAGCCUUCUGGUGCGGUACUGACGCUGAGGCACGAAAGCUAGGGUAUCGAACGGGAUUAGAUA
rnacentral:rRNA from 1 species